CCCAGGUGUCCCCAGGUGUAUCCAGGUGUAUUUAGGAUGUCCCCAGGUGUCCCCAGGUGUAUCCAGGUGUAUCCAGGUGUAUCCAGGUG
rnacentral:lncRNA from 1 species